GUGAUGGAUUUUUACAACCUUAAAUGAGAAGUACAAAUCAGACUCAAGCCUGCAAUUUAUUUUUGUCCAACAUUCAGAUUUGUUCAGUGAAAUGGAUCAACAGACAGAUCUAGGAAUAGUAACUAUGGAGUUACUAUGACAACUCUGGAAGAUGUCUUCCUGAAACUAGAAGGAAAUGAAAAAAAUUAUGAAGAUUAUGGAGUUCCCCAUGAAGGGGAAGUAGAAGAACUAGGAAAGGAUGAAAUGGAAGAGGAUCGGCUGUUGCUGUCAGAGAUGGGAAAAGUGACAAUGAAAGAGCUUCAUCCUGGGUUAUACUUUGAAACAGGAAACACUGGAUUUCAAGGAAAACUCUGGACUUCUGAUCCUUAAUAAUACAGAUAAAAGCUGACUCUCAUCUCAGGAUCUCAGGACUCUUUCCUUCUGCGUAUUGGUGUGGACAAGCUCUAGUAGACAUUCCCCUGCAUUGUGUUCUACUUGUUUCAGUGCUGUGGCUGUGGUUUCCAACUAUAACUGCUGUAGUGGCUAAGAAUUGACCAUUUUAUUAUUUACAUUUGGUAAGUUUAACUAUUUAAAUAGCAUUUAAAAUGUGACCUUCAAUAGAUUUUUAUGUUUACACUUUUCCCUUAUGGGCAUCAAUAACUAACUUAAUAAUGACUAGCAAAAAUCCCAGUUUCAGGCCUUGAAUGGUAGGCUUCUGUCUUUGAUUACAAAUAAGCGUUUCAAUAAAUGAUUGAAGAAUAGCAAAGAGAGGCUACUCAAGAUGAGUACAAAGGCCUUGUAAUCAAUAGAGACGGGAACUCUAUCUCCAUAACUAUUCAGGCAACAUCAUUCUAGACCAGUUGUAGCUGAUACCCAGUGGGGUUGUUGGGGUGUGAAACAGACUCAGGGUAGGUGGUACCAAUUAUGCCUAGGUUAACAUCCUCCUAUCUUGCAAAUGUUAUAAUUAAAAAUAUAUUACAAUCACACAUUAUUUCUUCUGGCAUACAGUUAAUUUAAAGACUGACAGGACAAAACAGGAUGGUCUGGGAGAAAGGAUACCCACUUCACACAACAAAAGCAGUCCCAGGCUAGCAUACCACCAGGCAAAAACAAAUAAAACAGGCAACAUGCACAUAACACACUGAAUUAAAAAUUAUAACCCUCAAGGUAGAUUAAAGAAAUAUGUGACAUGCUGAAUUUUAUAUAAACUUUUCUAUUUUUUCCUCCAUAUGUCUGAACUGUCAUUGUGCAGAAUUCUAUUUGUUCUGUUGUGUGGGAUAAUGUGGUUAGGAAAAGCCUGCAUUCUGCCUGGAUGAGUAUUAGGUGACUUGGAGGUCUAUAUCUUCAUAUUCCUGGCCAAGAAGCCUCCUGGACCAAUUGGGAGGGCCUGCUAGAACCUGGGAGUUGUGCUUUGAAAGGUAGACCCACAGGAGGGUUCCCUCUGUCAUCAGUUCCCUCUGCAAAUGGUGACCACAUGAUGUCGCGCUUAAUGACAUUGUG